ACGGGUGAGUAACACGUGGGUAACCUGCCUCAUAGAGGGGAAUAGCCUUUCGAAAGGAAGAUUAAUACCGCAUAAGAUUGUAGUAUCGCAUGAUACAGCAAUUAAAGGAGUAAUCCGCUAUGAGAUGGACCCGCGUCGCAUUAGCUAGUUGGUGAGGUAACGGCUCACCAAGGCGACGAUGCGUAGCCGACCUGAGAGGGUGAUCGGCCACAUUGGGACUGAGACACGGCCCAGACUCCUACGGGAGGCAGCAGUGGGGAAUAUUGCACAAUGGGGGAAACCCUGAUGCAGCAACGCCGCGUGAGUGAUGACGGUCUUCGGAUUGUAAAACUCUGUCUUCAGGGACGAUAAUGACGGUACCUGAGGAGGAAGCCACGGCUAACUACGUGCCAGCAGCCGCGGUAAUACGUAGGUGGCAAGCGUUGUCCGGAUUUACUGGGCGUAAAGGGAGCGUAGGUGGAUAUUUAAGUGGGAUGUGAAAUACUCGGGCUUAACCUGGGUGCUGCAUUCCAAACUGGAUAUCUAGAGUGCAGGAGAGGAAAGUAGAAUUCCUAGU
rnacentral:rRNA from 1 species